rnacentral:rRNA from 1 species
AUUGAACGCUGGCGGCAUGCCUUACACAUGCAAGUCGAACGGCAGCACGGGAGCAAUCCUGGUGGCGAGUGGCGAACGGGUGAGUAAUAUAUCGGAACGUGCCCAGUAGUGGGGGAUAACUGCUCGAAAGAGCAGCUAAUACCGCAUACGACCUGAGGGCGAAAGGGGGGGAUCGCAAGACCUCUCGCUAUUGGAGCGGCCGAUAUCAGAUUAGCUAGUUGGUGGGGUAAAGGCCUACCAAGGCAACGAUCUGUAGUUGGUCUGAGGGGACGACCAGCCACACUGGGACUGAGACACGGCCCAGACUCCUACGGGAGGCAGCAGUGGGGAAUUUUGGACAAUGGGCGCAAGCCUGAUCCAGCAAUGCCGCGUGCAGGAAGAAGGCCCUCGGGUUGUAAACUGCUUUUGUCAGGGAAGAAAUCCUCUAGGUUAAUACCCUUGGGGGGAUGACGGUACCUGAAGAAUAAGCACCGGCUAACUACGUGCCAGCCGCCGCGGUAAUAC